UACGUAGGGGCAAGCGUUGUCCGGAAUCAUUGGGCGUAAAGAGCGUGUAGGCGGUCCUGUAAGUCCGCUGUGAAAGUCAAGGGCUCAACCCUUGAAUGCCGGUGGAUACUGCAGGACUAGAGUCCGGAAGAGGCGAGUGGAAUUCCUGGUGUAGCGGUGAAAUGCGCAGAUAUCAGGAGGAACACCGAUGGCGAAGGCAGCUCGCUGGGACGGUACUGACGCUGAGACGCGAAAGCGUGGGGAGCAAACAGG
rnacentral:rRNA from 1 species